CCCGUACCCGUUCGGGGGCUUUGUACAGGUGCUGCAUGGCUGUCGUCAGCUCGUGUCGUGAGAUGUUCGGUUAAGUCCGCUAACGAGCGCAACCCUCGCUGUGUGUUACAAGUGUCACACGGAACUGCCGGUCAUAAACCGGAGGAAGGUGGGGAUGACGUCAAGUCAGCAUGGCCUUUAUAUCCUGGGCUACACACACGCUACAAUGGGAAGGGACAAUAGGUUGCGAAGCCGCGAGGCGGAGCCAAUCCAGCAAAACUUCCCUCAGUUCAGAUUGCAGGCUGCAACUCGCCUGCAUGAAGUUGGAGUUGCUAGUAAACGCAGGUCAGCCAUACUGCGUUGAAUACGUUCCCGGGCCUU
rnacentral:rRNA from 1 species